rnacentral:rRNA from 1 species
UGGGGAAUAUUGGACAAUGGGCGCAAGCCUGAUCCAGCCAUGCCGCGUGAGUGAUUAAGGCCCUAGGGUUGUAAAGCUCUUUCACCGGUGAAGAUAAUGACGGUAACCGGAGAAGAAGCCCCGGCUAACUUCGUGCCAGCAGCCGCGGUAAUACGAAGGGGGCUAGCGUUGUUCGGAUUUACUGGGCGUAAAGCGCACGUAGGCGGACUAUUAAGUCAGGGGUGAAAUCCCGGGGCUCAACCCCGGAACUGCCUUUGAUACUGGUAGUCUUGAGUUCGAGGGAGGUGAGUGGAAUUCCGAGUGUAGAGGUGAAAUUCGUAGAUAUUCGGAGGAACACCAGUGGCGAAGGCGGCUCACUGGCUCGAUACUGACGCUGAGGUGCGAAAGCGUGGGGAGCAAACAGG